rnacentral:tRNA from 1 species
UUGGGAAUUUAGCUCAGCUGUAGGGCACUUGCCCAGCAUUCAUGAGGCCCUGGGUUCAAUCCCCAGUACCAAA